ACAAAAUUUUUAUUUUUCAGGUUUUAUAGAGAAUUUAGAUAUUGAGCAAAGUUUUACUAAAUUAUAGUGAUCUUAGGAGCAAAGUUUACUUCGUUUGUGUUAUUGUUAAUCAAAAAUAUAAAAGUAAACAAAAAAGAAAACUAUUUAUACCUCUAUCUAUAUAAUUUUGUCGAUGUCCAUUUCUUAAGAAGUUUCUCAUUAAAACAACCCUUAACUCAGGCAAGGCAGGGCUAAGGUGGUUAGCGUAACUACAAGUGGUUAACUUACAGUUAGCCAACUGAAGAUCAAUCAACAAUGCCCGAUUAAUAAGAGAUCGCGCUGCUUGUCUACUACAUGUCCCUGCACUAGUUAUAGCAGUAAUUUCUUUGUUGGGAAGUAUUUAGCACAUCCGGGCUGCGCAAAAGGAGAGGUUGCUACACGUCAUCACACCGGAAUGCUAAAUCGCUUGGCCGUAUGUCUCAAUUGGUCCAGCCGGGUAUCAAACGCAGGACCUUCGGAACAUUAAUUAUCAUUAACAUCUGAUAGUGGUAUAUUAACACCAUAACUACCAAUCCACAUUGGAGCAGGUUCUUUUUUUCUUUACAAGUUAGCCCUUGACUACAAUCUCACCUGAUGGUAAGUGAUGAUUUAAUCUACGAUGGUAACGGGCUAACUUGUUAGGAGUAGUAAGACAAUCCACACCCCUUUUGGUUUCUACAUGGCAUCAUACUGGAAUGCUAAAUCGCUUAGUGGUAGGUCUUUGCCAGUAAGGUGGUAACUGGCCGAAGCCUCCCAUCAGUAAGACCUAGACCAAUUGAGAAAACCUCAAUCGGCCCAGCCAGGGAUCAAACCCAGGACACCACUGCUAAUGUUUUCCUCUCAAAGAUUCUAUCUAACUUUUAGUAUGAAAUAUUAUUAUUUUUUUUCUAAUUUCAGACUAAAUUGAUUAUUAUGAACAGACCAUUAUGAUGAACCACUGAUAUUGACUCAGGGACAUGAAGAUGAGUGCUUUGACAACAAGACUGACUAGCUGAGCCAGCUUAAGAAUUAUGUGGUGUGUGUGUGUGUGUGUGUCUAAUUCCAGGAGCUCUCUAUGUCAGCCAUCCAUCAAUAUUCUUACUCAUUUUUGUUAAUUAUAAAAUAAAUUUGAUUA